rnacentral:rRNA from 1 species
GGGCCCGCACAAGCAGUGGAGCAUGUGGUUUAAUUCGAAGCAACGCGCAGAACCUUACCAGCCCUUGACAUCCCGGUCGCGGUUUUCAGAAAUGAAUUCCUUCAGUUCGGCUGGACCGGUGACAGGUGCUGCAUGGCUGUCGUCAGCUCGUGUCGUGAGAUGUUGGGUUAAGUCCCGCAACGAGCGCAACCCUCGCCUUUAGUUGCCAGCAUUUAGUUGGGCACUUUAAGGAAACUGCCGGUGAUAAGCCGGAGGAAGGUGGGGAUGACGUCAAGUCCUCAUGGCCCUUACAGGCUGGGCUACACACGUGCUACAAUGGCGAUGACAGUGGGCAGCGACCCCGCAAGGGUGAGCUAA